rnacentral:rRNA from 1 species
GAUGAACGCUGGCGGCGUGCUUAACACAUGCAAGUCGAGCGAAGCACUUUGAUCGAUUUCUUCGGAAUGAAGUUUUAGUGACUGAGUGGCGGACGGGUGAGUAACGCGUGGGUAACCUGCCUCACACAGGGGGAUAACAGUUGGAAACGGCUGCUAAUACCGCAUAAGCGCACAGUACCGCAUGGUACGGUGUGAAAAACUCCGGUGGUGUGAGAUGGACCCGCGUCUGAUUAGCUAGUUGGCAGGGCAGCGGCCUACCAAGGCGACGAUCAGUAGCCGGCCUGAGAGGGUGAGCGGCCACAUUGGGACUGAGACACGGCCCAAACUCCUACGGGAGGCAGCAGUGGGGAAUAUUGCACAAUGGGGGAAACCCUGAUGCAGCGACGCCGCGUGAGCGAAGAAGUAUUUCGGUAUGUAAAGCUCUAUCAGCAGGGAAGAAAAAAUGACGGUACCUGACUAAGAAGCACCGGCUAAAUACGUGCCAGCCGCCGCGGUAA